rnacentral:SRP_RNA from 1 species
CCUGUUACCAUGUAAUCCAAGUUGAUCCGGGAAGAGGUUGGACUGGUGGAUCGUUUGAUCGGAUCUCUAGAGCUGCAGUGGCACUUAUGUCGAUCGGGUUCCCAAUAAAGUUCAGGUAUCGAUAUGGUGCUCCUGGCGACAGCCCGGGACCACCAGGUCGUCUAAGGAGGGGUGCACAGCCCAGGUUCGGAAACGGAGGCAGGCCAAGCCCCCGUGCCGCUCAGUAGUGGGACGAGCCUGUGGAAUAGAGCUGUAGUGAAAAGCUGAGUAUAAUACAGCGGGGACCCAGUCUUUU